rnacentral:rRNA from 1 species
UGCUGGAGGUAUCAGAAGUGCGAAUGCUGACAUAAGUAACGAUAAAGCGGGUGAAAAGCCCGCUCGCCGGAAGACCAAGGGUUCCUGUCCAACGUUAAUCGGGGCAGGGUGAGUCGACCCCUAAGGCGAGGCCGAAAGGCGUAGUCGAUGGGAAACAGGUUAAUAUUCCUGUACUUGGUGUUACUGCGAAGGGGGGACGGAGAAGGCUAUGUUAGCCGGGCGACGGUUGUCCCGGUUUAAGCAUGUAGGCUGAUUGUCCAGGCAAAUCCGGAUAAUCAAGGCUGAGGUGUGAUGACGAGGCACUACGGUGCUGAAGUAACAAAUGCCCUGCUUCCAGGAAAAGCCUCUAAGCAUCAGGUAACAUCAAAUCGUACCCCAAACCGACACAGGUGGUCAGGUAGAGAAUACCAAGGCGCUUGAGAGAACUCGGGUGAAGGAACUAGGCAAAAUGGUGCCGUAACUUCGGGAGAAGGCACGCUGGUGUGUAGGUGAAGUCCCUGCGGAUGGAGCUGAGACCAGUCGAAGAUACCAGCUGGCUGCAACUGUUUAUUAAAAACACAGCACUGUGCAAACACGAAAGUGGACGUAUACGGUGUGACGCCUGCCCGGUGCCGGAAGGUUAAUUGAUGGGGUUAUCCGUAAGGAGAAGCUCUUGAUCGAAGCCCCGGUAAACGGCGGCCGUAACUAUAACGGUCCUAAGGUAGCGAAAUUCCUUGUCGGGUAAGUUCCGACCUGCACGAAUGGCGUAAUGAUGGCCAGGCUGUCUCCACCCGAGACUCAGUGAAAUUGAACUCGCUGUGAAGAUGCAGUGUACCCGCGGCAAGACGGAAAGACCCCGUGAACCUUUACUAUAGCUUGACACUGAACAUUGAGCCUUGAUGUGUAGGAUAGGUGGGAGGCUUUGAAGCGUGGACGCCAGUCUGCGUGGAGCCAACCUUGAAAUACCACCCUUUAAUGUUUGAUGUUCUAACGUUGGCCCCUUACCGGGGUUGCGGACAGUGUCUGGUGGGUAGUUUGACUGGGGCGGUCUCCUCCCAAAGCGUAACGGAGGAGCACGAAGGUUAGCUAAUCCUGGUCGGACAUCAGGAGGUUAGUGCAAUGGCAUAAGCUAGCUUGACUGCGAGCGUGACGGCGCGAGCAGGUGCGAAAGCAGGUCAUAGUGAUCCGGUGGUUCUGAAUGGAAGGGCCAUCGCUCAACGGAUAAAAGGUACUCCGGGGAUAACAGGCUGAUACCGCCCAAGAGUUCAUAUCGACGGCGGUGUUUGGCACCUCGAUGUCGGCUCAUCACAUCCUGGGGCUGAAGUAGGUCCCAAGGGUAUGGCUGUUCGCCAUUUAAAGUGGUACGCGAGCUGGGUUUAGAACGUCGUGAGACAGUUCGGUCCCUAUCUGCCGUGGGCGCUGGAGAAUUGAGGGGGGCUGCUCCUAGUACGAGAGGACCGGAGUGGACGCAUCACUGGUGUUCGGGUUGUCAUGCCAAUGGCACUGCCCGGUAGCUAAAUGCGGAAGAGAUAAGUGCUGAAAGCAUCUAAGCACGAAACUUGCCCCGAGAUGAGUUCUCCCUGAGACUUUAAGUCUCCUGAAGGAACGUUGAAGACGACGACGUUGAUAGGCCGGGUGUGUAAGCGCAGCGAUGCGUUGAGCUAACCGGUACUAAUGAACCGUGAGGCUUAACCUUACAACGCCGAAG